rnacentral:tRNA from 1 species
GACACUUUGGCCGAGUGGUUAAGGCGCAGGCCUGCUAAGCCUGUGGGUUCGCCCGCCUGGUAUGUUCCACUAUUCUUAACAUAAUCAAGUAUCAAUAUCUAACAAUCUACAACAGGGUUCGAAUCCCAGAGGUGUCG